AGUGAACGCUGGCGGUAGGCCUAACACAUGCAAGUCGAACGGCAGCACAGUAAGAGCUUGCUCUUACGGGUGGCGAGUGGCGGACGGGUGAGGAAUACAUCGGAAUCUACUUUUUCGUGGGGGAUAACGUAGGGAAACUUACGCUAAUACCGCAUACGACCUACGGGUGAAAGCAGUGGAUCUUCGGACCUUGCGCGAUUGAAUUAGCCGAUGUCGGAUUAGCUAGUUGGCGGGGUAAAGGCCCACCAAGGCGACGAUCCGUAGCUGGUCUGAGAGGAUGAUCAGCCACACUGGAACUGAGACACGGUCCAGACUCCUACGGGAGGCAGCAGUGGGGAAUAUUGGACAAUGGGCGCAAGCCUGAUCCAGCCAUACCGCGUGGGUGAAGAAGGCCUUCGGGUUGUAAAGCCCUUUUGUUGGGAAAGAAAAGCAGCAGGUUAAUACACCGCUGUUUUGACGGUACCCAAAGAAUAAGCACCGGCUAACUUCGUG
rnacentral:rRNA from 1 species